rnacentral:rRNA from 1 species
AUGACAUGGUUCCAGCAAAAAAUCAUGGCAGCCACCCGCCGUCGCCUCCCAUCACGGUCCUCGCUUGUUGCAGCAGAGUCAAAUGUUGGUUCCAGCAAAAAAACCUAUGCGGCAAAAAUCAUGACGGUACCGCCGUCAUCGACCAACACUAGCCUCUCCUAUUGCAGCAAAAGGGAAAGCGGGUUCCAGCAAAAAUCAAGCGGGUUUCAGCAAAAAUCAAAAGUGAUUCCAGCAAAACAACAACAAAAAGCAACUUACUGUGGCCACUGCCAUCACUGCCCACCACCAUCCUCGCCGCUUGAAGAAAAACCACUGGCCGGUUCAGCACUGCACCACAUCGGUCACAGCAUGUCCCCCGCGUCACCGCUUGUCCCAGCCUUUUUCGCUGCUGGACGCAACAGCUUUCACCGCGGGCCGGCCACUCCACUGCCUUAUAUCCACCGGUGCUGCUCGCCGCGCGCCAUGGGUGCAUCUCAUCGCCGGUGGUGUUUCUCUUGGCCAAAGAGGAAAAAGGGGUGUGGCGCAGGGCAUUGGCUCGGGCUGCUCGAUAGACUACACCGACCUGCGUCGAAGCUCAAGAUGGACUGCAAGGGGCUGGGACCGACCUUUGGGCGGCGUAGGCUGGAGCGUCGGGUGAUCAUUCACCUCGCGAUUCACGAGGAUCCAACGCAAGGGCCCUGGAUUGUGUCCAAGGGGUACACCUGGGUGAAGUACAUCGUCGACGACAAGCGGCUCGCGACCAUGCCCUGGAGAUGCUAUGAUGGUCCUGCAGCCUCCACUACUGGCUGUUGGGCGUGGUCGAAGCCCGACCCAGCCCCCCUCGUUGCGUGCUACUCGCCAUCGUUAUCAAGAGUUGUUGACAACAUCAGCCUCAGCCCCACUGUUGCCAACAACAAUCCUCCCCCAUCGCCACAGACUAAGAGGAAUGAAGCCUGGUUGGCCACGCUAGUGCACGCAGAGCCAAGCCAGGGUUUGAGGCGUGCCAAAGCCAAGGCCACGUCGGCUUCUCACACGGCCGAGAUCCUCAUCUACCACUCUGUGCGGCUCCUGGGGCUCGUCUCGCUCCGCUGGGUCUUCCAGCGCCACCCGCGACCGUCUCCCGUAGCUAGGGUUUUCCCCGGCGUGGUUCGGCGACUCAGGUGCGUCCCUCUACUCCAUCUCCUCCUCCUCACAUCCCUCCCUCACUUCCUCACCUCAUGUUCUCUCCCUCCCAGAUCCAGGAUGCCAUGGGCGGAUGGCCUCUUCCUCCCCUGCCCCGACGCCAUGAAGUUGCUAGACCUGGCCGUUGGCCGCGAGCCCAGCCACCUCCUUGCGGCCGCAUCGUCUGGAUCUGGCCGACUCUCUAGCCCGGCCGCAUCAUCGGGGUCUGGCCCGCGAGGAUCCAGGCCGCUCACCCCCGCUCCCGUCUGUCGCCGCUCCGGAUCCGCGCCACCCGCGCUCCUCGACCUCGAGCUUCGCCCCCGCCCGUCUGUUGCCGCUCCGAGGCGGCGACACAGCUGGCCUGAGCCCGAGCAAGAGCAGCAACUCAUCUCGCCCAAGCCGUUGGCCGUGAGCCCAGCCACCUCCUCGUCCUGGAAAGUAGAUAUUGUUGGCUAUCUCUCACGUGAUACUGGAAGACUUUACCUGCAUCCUACUGAUAUUCCCAGCUCGUGGACCAGCUUUGCUCUGAGAAUGUCGCUGCAAAAACCAAAACAAAACUUGCUCUGA